rnacentral:rRNA from 1 species
GAUGAACGCUGGCGGCGUGCCUAAUACAUGCAAGUCGAGCGAACAGACGAGGAGCUUGCUCCUCUGACGUUAGCGGCGGACGGGUGAGUAACACGUGGAUAACCUACCUAUAAGACUGGGAUAACUUCGGGAAACCGGAGCUAAUACCGGAUAAUAUAUUGAACCGCAUGGUUCAAUAGUGAAAGACGGUUUUGCUGUCACUUAUAGAUGGAUCCGCGCCGCAUUAGCUAGUUGGUAAGGUAACGGCUUACCAAGGCAACGAUGCGUAGCCGACCUGAGAGGGUGAUCGGCCACACUGGAACUGAAACACGGUCCAGACUCCUACGGGAGGCAGCAGUAGGGAAUCUGCCGCAAUGGGCGAAAGCCUGACGGAGCAACGCCGCGUGAGUGAUGAAGGUCUUCGGAUCGUAAAACUCUGUUAUUAGGGAAGAACAAAUGUGUAAGUAACUAUGCACGUCUUGACGGUACCUAGUCAGAAAGCCACGGCUAACUACGUG